rnacentral:rRNA from 1 species
UACGUAGGGCGCAAGCGUUGUCCGGAAUUAUUGGGCGUAAAGAGCUCGUAGGCGGUCUGUUACGUCCGCUGUGAAAACCCAGGGCUUAACCCUGGGCUUGCAGUGGAUACGGGCAGACUAGAGGCAGGUAGGGGAGAAUGGAAUUCCCGGUGUAGCGGUGAAAUGCGCAGAUAUCUGGAGGAACACCGGUGGCGAAGGCGGCAUCCUGGACCAAUACUGACGCUGAGGAGCGAAAGCCAGGGGAGCAAACGGG